CGCCAGGCACAGACAGGAGAAGGGCAGAGACAGGGAGUCCAGGGGAUUCAGGAGGCUCUGGACCGGCCCAUCUCAGUGUGGGACUUUGGUCCUGAGGCGUUGCAGGAACCUCCACCCUGGGGAUGGCCCUGGGAAGACAGAUGCAUGUGGAGGCGGGGGCGCUCACCAGCCUGGGGGCCUGUUAGCCUUCUCUGAAAAAGCCGGGGCCUCAGGACUACCAUUCACGUCUUCCCGAUUCUCCUCCUCCUCUUUCCAGAUGGUGAGAGCGCUGAUGACCUAGCCCAAAGGCGGCUGGAAGGUAGGAGGGUGCCUUUCUUUGAGGACUGCUUCCCAGCAUCAAGGACACCUUUUCUCUGAGUUCCAUCUCACAGGCUGAUCUUUUAAAUAGACCUCAUUCCUCCAAUUUCCUGCAGUCAUGAAGUUAGACAUUUCUGGGAUUCCGUUUCCUGAAAUGCAAUGUUUCCUGAAUGCCAUUAAGGUGCUUCUCCUGGGAGUUGAACCUGCCUUUGGAUGGAGCCCUUUCCUGUGGAAACACGGGUUCAUGGCUGAAGAGGAAUUUUCCCUCAGGAUCAAUUGCACCUUCAGUCUCACCCAUAUCUGAUUUAGAUGACAUUUAGAUGAGAUUUUGGACCCUGACAUUGAUGCUGGAACAAGCUAAGACUUUUGGGGCUAUCGGGAUAAAAUGAAUGUAUUUUGAAUGUGAGAAGGACCUAAAGUUUGAGAGGACAGAGGCAGAGUGUUAUAGACUGAAUGGGAGGGCUUUGUUCAGGAAGAGCCUUGGAUUGCUGAAUCCCAGGGGAAACUUCAGCUUGUUAGAUGACAUCAGGCCUGUGGAAUCUGCAUGUCCAACUGACUUGUGUGUGAGGACUGAGGAGAUGGGGUGAGAUCAGCUUCACCCUAGCCUUCACCCAGUGCUUGAGCUCCUCUGGAGACAGUGAUGACAAGGAUCAGAGCCUGCCCUGCAAGAACAGCCCCCACAGCUCUGGGUAUCUUCCUGGGACCACUCAGAGGAACGAGAUGUGCUAAGUGUGUCAAAGCAGUGGGGAGUGGAAGGAAGGAGGCAGUGUGGACCUUUGCUGAGCAUGUCUCAGGCAGCUGCUUCCAGCAACAUCGACAUUGAGUCCUCACAACGGCCCUGGGAGGUACAUAGGCACAUCCCUGAAAUGCAGAGAGUCACAGACCCAGAGAGGUCAAGCACUCAUUGAUCACUGAAGCUGGGUGUGGGAUCAGAUUGGCCAGACCCCCCUCUAUCACUCUUCAUGGGCUCAGAAGCUUCCAUGCACACCAUCACCAACCAUGCCUGGAGG
rnacentral:lncRNA from 1 species